rnacentral:rRNA from 1 species
UACGUAGGGUGCAAGCGUUGUCCGGAAUUAUUGGGCGUAAAGAGCUCGUAGGCGGUCUGUCGCGUCGGCUGUGAAAACCCGGGGCUCAACCCCGGGCCUGCAGUCGAUACGGGCAGACUAGAGUGCGGUAGGGGAGACUGGAAUUCCUGGUGUAGCGGUGAAAUGCGCAGAUAUCAGGAGGAACACCGGUGGCGAAGGCGGAUCUCUGGGCCAUUACUGACGCUGAGGAGCGAAAGCGUGGGGAGCGAACAGG